UUAACCCACAGACUGAUAAAUGAGCACAGCUUUGGGGACACCAAAGAACAGUCAUUAAGGAAGCCCUCUCCGAAGGUGGCGUUCAGCAAUCCACAGCUGCUGUGAGUUGAUGUGUGCAGUGGCCACAUCCCACUGUCUUAUAAUUGUGUACCUACUAUGGGCAAUGAUAAGAUUUCUUGGGAUGACAAUGAAGCCCCGCUGCCUGUGUGGAUGAAGAACACCUCUCCUGCUGCCUUCCAGGUCACAAACCAGACAUGGGUCACUCCGAACUAAAACCAAGAUGCUGGCUGCUAUGUUCUUUGGAGGCUCUAAGGAAGAAGAAACGGUUUCCUUGCCGGUUCCAGCUGUUUGAAGCCACCCGCAUUUCUUAAUCCAUGGACUUCUGCUCCAUGAAGCUGUCGAUGACCAGUUGAGUCCUUCUCAUAACACAUUACUUUGUCAGUUGCUAUCCACCUGAAUCCUGCAACCUGCUUUUAAGGGCUCGCCUUAGUGGGCUCAGCCAUAACCCAGGAUGAUCUUCUUUUAGAACAGUUGAUUGGCAAACUUAAUUCCACCUGUACUCUUCCUUUGGGCCACACCUAGCAUACCUCCAUGCUGAAGAUAUGAGAGCACAGACAUCCUCAGGACGUGGGUGCUCACCUGCCUUGUAUGGCUGUCGUGGAAGCUUGGCUUCCUCAUCUAUCAAGUGGGAAUAAACAAACUUGCCUUGUAGAAGUCCCAUAAUACAUAAAGACAGUACAUGUAUAAAUUUAUCUGCAAGGGUGUGUGCUCAGUGAACAGUGCCUAGCUGCCUUGGUCAGGGUUACUAUUGUUGUGUAAAACACCAUAACCAAAGCAACUUGAGGAAGAACGGUUUAUUUGGCUUACUCUUCUUAGAACUCAGGACCACCAACCUAGGGAUGACCCAACACACAAUGAGCUGAGCUCUUCCCCAUCAGUCACUAAUUUUAAAAAAUACCUCCCAGGCUUGCUUACUGCCAAUCUUAUGGAAGCAGUUUCUCAGUUGAGGUCCCCACCUCUUUAAUGACACUAGUUUUUGUCAAGUUGACAAACUAGCCAGAAUAGCAUCCUGAUCAUCAUUAACUGUCAACUGACCCCAUGCAAAAAGUAACUACAGGUGCCUAACAACCCCAGCACUCAUUUAGCAGCAGGGAAUGACAACUCUCUCAAGCUCUCUCCGCCUCCCUUUUCUUCUAUCAAACUCUCCACAACACUCUGGUGAGCUGUCAUCUGCCGCAAUGUGCUCCCACAGCCCAGCAGGGAAUAGCAAACUUGGUUUUCUGCCUAAGUCAAAGGAGUGGGGAUAGGGGGUCUUUUUACCUUUGCUUCCUACAUAGACCCCUGUGUGGAGUCAAAGGAACUGAGAAAAAAAGAAAGAAGUCAAAGCAGCUGGCUAAAGAUCUCCCUCCUCCUGCCUCACAGAGCAGCAGUCUCCCUGGCAGGAGCCCCUUCAUAGCCCUCAGCAACCUCAGCAAACGUUGAAAUCUUACUUUGAAAGUUCUAAAUGAAAAACAAGAGACUGGCAAGCCAGUAUCCUUUCUCCUUUCUUGUGCCAAUGUUGACCUGACUGCUGCUUAAAGAGGAGCAAACACCUGAAUAUCCUCUCCUGCUGUAGAGAUGAACAACUGCUGGAAGUUCUGCCAAGUGUCCACCCCUUUGCCAGAUCCUUUAUCUCAUGCCUGCUUGGUGCAUGGGAAACUCAGGGGAUCUGGUCCUAGAAGCCAGUCUCGAGUAAUUGAAUGAAGAUGCUGACAGUACACUUGGAGGCACAGACAAGACCAAAUUCAUGUACGACGAAGAAGUAAGCAGUUUCCUCAAGAUAACUAUGGAACGGGGAAUCGUGUUCCAACAAGUACUAACAAGCCCUUCUAGGGCAGACUAUCUUUUCUACAAGCUGACUGCAAGGACAAGUGGCUCACACUUAUAUAAGUCCAGAACUACAUGGAUCUUGGCAUGCCUACAGCUUCUCACAAAAGGGACAACCUCACCCCAUUAGCUGCAACUACAGAGCCUUUCUGUGGCAGGGUGGCAGGCUUCCUGUCCAAUCUGUUCGCUUUGGGGGGCAGGAGACAGAAUAGAGGUUUCCACCAUAAUCACAGGAGGGGCUGAUGCAGACCUGAGGUGAAUGUUACAUCACAUCUGCCAUUUUGUUUUGUUUGUUUGUUUGUUUGUUUGUUUGUCUUUUCAGACCACCCUAAGAUGUCCCUUUAAACAGAAGAAGAUGAGCUGCCAAGAUAAGCUCAAGCAAGUACAAUAUUACAAUACUAUAUAAAAGCAUUUUUAAAAGAAUUUGAUGCCAUUCAACGUGGAGAGAUAAAAUUAAAAAAGAAAUUCUUGCCAUAUUUCUAUAACCCACUGAUAAUUUGUUCUCUUAGAGGAAACAAACGCUAAUGGUCUUUGCCCUUAUUCUCUUGCUGAUUCUUGAAGAUUCCAAGGCUAAAACUACUCCCAUGGAGGUUGUAUCCAGCAUCUUUGGAAUCUAAAAUCUCCCAGAUGUGGCCAAGUCUGUAAUAUAUGAAGGCAGAGAGUGCUCAAGCCAAACACAGUUACUCCUUGGGACAGCUGAAGCUACACCGUGAAUGGAAGAGACAAAGGCUCAAAGGCAGUGAGAGGGCCUAUUGGCAAGCCACCCAUGCAUUCACAUCCAUGCAUUGGAGAGCAAGCUUCUGUCUCCCUUGAAUUUGUGCAUGAACGAUGGAGCAAAUAGAAAAUGGCAUAGCUCUAUAAGAUCACUGACAUGACAUCCUCUCACUCUCUCUCCUUCUGUGUGUGUGUGUGUGUGUGUGCGUGCGUGUAUGUUAUGUGUGUGUGUUAUGUGUGUGUCUUUCAUCUGUCUCUCUGUUUCUGUCUCUGUCUCUCUGUCUCUGUGUGUGUCUUUCAUCUGUUUCUUUGUUUCUGUGUCUCUGUCUCUGUCUGUCUCUCUGUCUCUGUCUGUCUGUCUGUCUGUCUGUCUGUCUCUCUCUCUCUCUCUCUCUCUCUCUCUCACACACACACACACACACACACACACACACACACACACACACACACACAUUCACAGAGACAGCAUCCCAUAAAAUACAACCUAACAUUUCCUUAUGAAUUUUCAUACUCCUCUGUGAUCCAUCACAGCAGUUAUUACACCCCAAACUAUCAUCCAUCACGGAGAGCACUACAGGCAACCAGAGGAUGAGAGGAUGUGCAAGCCCUGCUCCCAGGGCUCCCCCCUCCCUCACAAGCUAUAAACUGAAAGCUCACUGAAGAACCAAGUACUGAGGUUGCAGUCAUUUAGCAGACCUUUCCUGCAGGGAUGGGCCUGGCAGGGCAAUCCCCGUUGUGCCAGGGAAUCCACUUAGAGUGUGCAUACCGGGAGU